rnacentral:rRNA from 1 species
GACGAACGCUGGCGGCGUGCUUAACACAUGCAAGUCGAACGGUGAAGCCCUUCGGGGUGGAUCAGUGGCGAACGGGUGAGUAACACGUGAGCAACCUGCCCCUGGCUCUGGGACAACCACUGGAAACGGUGGCUAAUACCGGAUACGACCCGCCUCGGCAUCGAGUGUGGGUGGAAAGUGUUUCGGCGGGGGAUGGGCUCGCGGCCGAUCAGCUCGUUGGUGAGGUGAAGGCUCACCAAGGCGACGACGGGUAGCCGGCCUGAGAGGGCGAACGGCCACAAUGGACCUAAGACACGGCACAGACGCCAACGUGAGGCAGCAGUGGUGAGUAUUGCACAAUGGGCGAAGGCCUGUUGCGGCGACGCUGCGUGAGGGAAGCAGGCAUUCGGGUUGUAAACCUAUUUCAGCGCGGAAAUAGCGAGAUUGACGGUAGGGUAAAAGAAAGCACCGGCUAACUACGUG